rnacentral:rRNA from 1 species
GGUAAGAAAGCUACCGUCUUAUAGUAUGAUGAUGGCUGAGGAGGAGCUUGCUCCCGGAUGCUUGUGGCGGACGGGGAGUAACACGUGGGUAACCUGCCUGUAAGACUGGGAUAACUCCGGGAAACCGGAGCUAAUACCGGAUAGUUCCUUGAACCGCAUGGUUCAAGGAUGAAAGACGGUUUCGGCUGUCACUUACAGAUGGACCCGCGGCGCAUUAGCUAGUUGGUGGGGUAAUGGCUCACCAAGGCGACGAUGCGUAGCCGACCUGAGAGGGUGAUCGGCCACACUGGGACUGAGACACGGCCCAGACUCCUACGGGAGGCAGCAGUAGGGAAUCUUCCGCAAUGGACGAAAGUCUGACGGAGCAACGCCGCGUGAGUGAUGAAGGUUUUCGGAUCGUAAAGCUCUGUUGUUAGGGAAGAACAAGUGCGAGAGUAACUGCUCGCACCUUGACGGUACCUAACCAGAAAGCCACGGCUAACUACGUGCCAGCAGCCGCGGUAAUACGUAGGUGGCAAGCGUUGUCCGGAAUUAUUGGGCGUAAAGGGCUCGCAGGCGGUUUCUUAAGUCUGAUGUGAAAGCCCCCGGCUCAACCGGGGAGGGUCAUUGGAAACUGGGAAACUUGAGUGCAGAAGAGGAGAGUGGAAUUCCACGUGUAGCGGUGAAAUGCGUAGAGAUGUGGAGGAACACCAGUGGCGAAGGCGACUCUCUGGUCUGUAACUGACGCUGAGGAGCGAAAGCGUGGGGAGCGAACAGGAUUAGAUACCCUGGUAGUCCACGCCGUAAACGAUGAGUGCUAAGUGUUAGGGGGUUUCCGCCCCUUAGUGCUGCAGCUAACGCAUUAAGCACUCCGCCUGGGGAGUACGGUCGCAAGACUGAAACUCAAAGGAAUUGACGGGGGCCCGCACAAGCGGUGGAGCAUGUGGUUUAAUUCGAAGCAACGCGAAGAACCUUACCAGGUCUUGACAUCCUCUGACAACCCUAGAGAUAGGGCUUUCCCUUCGGGGACAGAGUGACAGGUGGUGCAUGGUUGUCGUCAGCUCGUGUCGUGAGAUGUUGGGUUAAGUCCCGCAACGAGCGCAACCCUUGAUCUUAGUUGCCAGCAUUCAGUUGGGCACUCUAAGGUGACUGCCGGUGACAAACCGGAGGAAGGUGGGGAUGACGUCAAAUCAUCAUGCCCCUUAUGACCUGGGCUACACACGUGCUACAAUGGACAGAACAAAGGGCUGCAAGACCGCAAGGUUUAGCCAAUCCCAUAAAUCUGUUCUCAGUUCGGAUCGCAGUCUGCAACUCGACUGCGUGAAGCUGGAAUCGCUAGUAAUCGCGGAUCAGCAUGCCGCGGUGAAUACGUUCCCGGGCCUUGUACACACCGCCGUUCUCACCAGGAAAGUUCCAACAUGAUCAUGUCGCCGGAGAAGUCGUAACAAGGUAACCGACGUAGAGUGAUAUGC